rnacentral:rRNA from 1 species
UAUGAAAGGGUUAACGAGGAAGACGCUGUGCCUAAAAACUUAGUUUAAACUAACUUAAAGGUGAAGAGGCCUUUAUAAGAAAGAAGGACGACAAGACCCUAUGAAGCUUUAUCUUAUUAGGGAUUUGAAAGAUCCUUAUACGAUUUUGAUGGGAGAUCAGUAAAAAUAAGUCUUUUACCAUUAUUUUUAUCUUACAAGUGUUUCCUAAUUUUAUAUGUGUGACUAGCUACUCUAGGGAUAACAGCGCAAUUUCUCCCGAAAGAUGGUAUUGGAGGGGAAGAUUGCGACCUCGAUGUUGCC